AAAUGGAUUAAAGCAGUUGUAUACUGCUGUGAUAAAUUUUUGUGAUGCUGAUUUGUGCCCGCAGCCUUGAGGUUUGCAACAUCCAGAAGAAGCGCUAGCAAGAGAAACAGGGUUUAGUCUAAGUGAGAUUGAAGAACUGUAUGAACUAUUCAAGAAGAUCAACACUGAAGUAACGGACGAUGGAUUAAUUACUAAGUUUCAUUCCAAUUGUAUGAUCUCAAACAAGGAUUUAUUCAGAGACAAGAGGCAAUUUAAUUUAUUUUUAAAUGAUGUUGAAUAAAUGGAGUUUUGAUCACUCACCAUGUAGGACUACUAUUCCAUAGUGUCAUAUAUAGUGUUAUACUAAUUCUUACCUAUCGAUCAAUGUGUGAAAGGAUUAUUUGUUGAUAGCCUAAUUCAAAGCAUCAUUGACAAGGUAUUCAUUAUCUGACAACUUUAGUGUGUAUGUAUGUCUAAUAUUUUGUUCAUAAGUCUAGGUAUUUGUUCUCUCCUUUUCAUGUUUUGCUUGGCUUUUUGUUGGUAUGUGAAAUUUAUUAUCUUUUACACUCUUCUUAAUAGUCUAUAGUAAAAGCAAUCUUAUCAAGCAUGGCUUUUAAUGCAUGCAUACUUUGGAAAUAAGCAGUAUGGGUUUUAGGAGUGGUUGGUAGUUGUUGUUUCCCUUGCUAGUUUAAAUGUGUUAUUUUCGUUAUAUCUCAUACCAAUUAUUGAUCAGUGGGACAAUUAAGUGUUCUCCGUAUGAUGUUUUCCUUAUACAUGGACCAAAGUCUUUACAAUAUUUUUCUACUAAAUAAAGUAAAUCUUUAGCCUUGUUCUUGUGAACCUCUUAAAUUAUGUAUGUUGACUUGAAGAUUAUGGCAUACCAAGUCCUUUGUGCUAUUAUAAUCUUCUCUAUAGAGCUAUCACUAACUGUACUUAAACUCGAUCUUCAGACAUUCGAGGAAGCUGAUACAAAACAUGAUGGGAAGAUUGACAAGGAAGAAUGGCUAAACCUUGUCUUGCAACAUAUCCAUCCCUUCUAAAAAAUAUGACUCUUCAUUAUUUCAAAGGUAUUACAACUACAUUUCCCAGUUUUGUAUUUCACUCACAAGUUGAUGAUGCUUGAGGCAACUACACAUCUAUGUCAGUUUCUCUGGUGUUGGCUGAGCAGGUUCUUGUUUCCCUUGAGAGUGGUGGAAUUCUGUGAGAAGGAUAUGGCUAAAAUGGAAAUGGGCUAUUUAUAUUUCCAUUGAAUAGAAAGUUGCCUUCCAUUUUUUUGGGUAGAUGAACUAGGUUUGGAUUUUGAAUAAAUGAAUUUAAUUAUUUAUUUGCUUCAUUAGGAAUGAAAACAAAAUAGGAUAAAAUUAAUAUACAGGUGUUUCAGAAAUAGCACCAGAAACUUUUGGAUACAAAUAUAUUUUGCCAUUAUGACUUCUAGAAAGGCAUCACUGAGCUUAGGUGCAAAGUUAAGAAUUUCUGCU